CCCUUAGAUGUCCUGGGCCGCACGCGCGCUACACUGAUGCAUGCAACGAGUUUAUAACCUUGGCCUGAAAGGUCUGGGUAAUCUUUUGAACGUGCAUCGUGAUAGGGAUAGAUUAUUGCAAUUGUUAAUCUUGAACGAGGAAUUCCUAGUAAACGCGAGUCAUCAGCUCGCAUUGAUUACGUCCCUGCCCCUUGUACACACCGCCCGUCGCACCUACCGAUUGAAUGGUUCGGUGAAGAUCUCGGACUUCGAUAUUUAUUCUUUAUUGAGUUUAUAUUGUGGGAAGUUAUCUAAACCUCAUCAUUUAGAGGAAGGUGAAGUCGUAACA
rnacentral:rRNA from 1 species